rnacentral:lncRNA from 1 species
CCUCCCGCCACCCGAUUGGCUGUCGCUCUACGGCCGGCCGGCCCUCCCCUCCUCCCAUUGGCAGGCAGAGCCGUCGCUCCGCGCCGGGUAGAACGGGGCGGGGGAGCGGCGGGGCGCUGGCGGCACGCGGGAGUUCGGCGCUGACAGGGAGGCGCGCGGAGGCGCUGCGGGACGGGCCGGGCACCUCCUGCCCGCGGCAGGUGAGCUCAGCGAGACCAGUUUAAGCAGUGCUGCAGAGGAGAAGAUCAUGGAUGCAAGAAGAUGCCUCAUUUCAGAACACCCAAACAUGAAGAUUUUAUGAACGUCAUUGGGGAUCCUUUGCUGGAGCUGUUGUGUGCUGCCCGCUGCAGCGCAGCCCUCUGUGACCCCUUGCCUCCAAGGAUGGAAUCUGUGAGUCUUUUCCAUCCUGAACUUGAGAGCUGGCGUGCAGGAGGAAUGGAUCUCGUCUGUCUGCUGUGA